rnacentral:rRNA from 1 species
GACGAACGCUGGCGGCGUGCUUAACACAUGCAAGUCGAGCGGUAAGGCCCCUUCGGGGGUACACGAGCGGCGAACGGGUGAGUAACACGUGAGCAAUCUGCCCUUCACACGGGAAUAACUUCGGGAAACCGGAGCUAAUACCCGAUACGACCACCUCGGGCAUCCGAUGGUGGUGGAAAGCUCCGGCGGUGAAGGAUGAGCUCGCGGCCUAUCAGCUUGUUGGUGGGGUAACGGCCCACCAAGGCAACGACGGGCAGCCGGCCUGAGAGGGUGACCGGCCACACUGGGACUGAGACACGGCCCAGACUCCUACGGGAGGCAGCAGUGGGGAAUAUUGGACAAUGGGCGAAAGCCUGAUCCAGCAACGCCGCGUGAGGGAUGACGGCCUUCGGGUUGUAAACCUCUUUCAGCAGGGACGAAGCGCAAGUGACGGUACCUGCAGAAGAAGCACCGGCCAACUACGUGCCAACCGCCGCAGUAAAAC